AUUAGGUCCUGCAGUACCCCUGCUUGUCGUAAAAGGCGACUAAAUGGGACGGUCCUUUGGACGAAACCACAGGCAAUUGCCUGUGGACGAAACCGCUUAAACCGAGGUCCCGUGUCACAAAGUGUGGCACGAUAAAGAUCCCUCCCUGCUUAUAGGCCAUAAGCGCCGAGCAUAGGCCUAAAUUUUGCAGCCCUGGUGACGUCUCCGUAUAAGUGAAAUACUCUCGAGAGGGACGUUAAACAAUAUACAAUCAAUGAAUCAAUCAAUCAAAUUGUCAUCAGAAAAACUGUUUAAUUCCUAUUAGAUCCACCAACUCGGUACAUAGGAUGACGCAACGCAAAUACUCACUGUCAUGAUCGUGUGCAGGAUUGGACAAAACAAGAUGGCAGACGGCAUUUCCAAACAAAGGUAUCAAGCCCUAGAACUUCAUUCCAUGAGAUGGGUACACUUCGAAUGUGCGAAAUUGGUGGUGAGGAAUUCAAGACCAAUUCUGAAUUUCGUAGGCAUGUAAAAAGGAAACAUCAAUCAGAGAAAUUGUCUUCGUUUGUGACCAGUGCAACACACGCUUAUAAAAGAAACAUGAAGUACAAAAAAUUACAUUGUUUUCUGAAUACACGAAGUGCAUACAUAUACCAUGGCAGCCGUUUUAUAUAUCCGUCUAUGUACAUUAUGAAACGAUUAUUUUUACGGUAUUAUGUUUUGUUUUACAGAGAUACUACUAAUCUUUUACAUUGCAUUAUACACAUGCUGAUGUGUUAUUUCAUUGAACCAGAAGUGUUCUUAAUUUUUAUUUGUUAUUAAAUAUAUUUCAAUGUUA